CUCCAGACUCCUACGGGAGGCAGCAGUGGGGAAUAUUGCACAAUGGGGGGAACCCUGAUGCAGCGACGCCGCGUGGGCGAGGAAGUAUUUCGGUAUGUAAAGCCCUAUCGGCAGGGAAGAAGGAGGACGGUACCUGACUAAGAAGCCCCGGCUAACUACGUGCCAGCAGCCGCGGUAAUACGUAGGGGGCAAGCGUUAUCCGGAAUUACUGGGUGUAAAGGGAGCGCAGACGGCAGCGCAAGCCAGGAGUGAAAGCCCGGGGCCCAACCCCGGGACUGCUCUUGGAACUGCGCGGCUGGAGUGCAGGAGGGGCAGGCGGAAUUUCUGGUGUAGCGGUGAAAUGCGUAGAUAUCAGGAGGAACACCGGUGGCGAAGGCGGCCUGCUGGACUGCGACUGACGUUGAGGCCCGAAAGCGUGGGGAGCAAACAGGAUUAGAUACCCUCGUA
rnacentral:rRNA from 1 species